GGUCAAGCGAUGAAGCGCAUACGGUGGAUGCCUAGGCAGCCAGAGGCGAUGAAAGACGUGGAAGCCUGCGAUAAGGCUCGGCGAGGUGGCAAACAACCUGUGACCCGGGCAUCUCUGAAUGGGGAAACCCACCCAGUGUAAGCUGGGUAUCCCGCACUGAAUACAUAGGUGCCGGGAGGCGAACCAGGGGAACUGAAACAUCUAAGUACCCUGAGGAAAAGAAAUCAACCGAGAUUCCCCCAGUAGCGGCGAGCGAACGGGGACCAGCCCUUAAGCAUGUGACUGAUUAGACGAACGCGUUGGGAAGCGCGGCCAUAGUGGGUGACAGCCCCGUAGUCGAAAAUCUGAUCAUGUGAAAUCGAGUAGGUCGGGGCACGAGAAACCUUGACUGAAGACGGGGGGACCAUCCUCCAAGGCUAAAUACU
rnacentral:rRNA from 1 species